GGGAAAAGUAAGACCUCGCCACAAAUGCGGGAUCCGCCCCUAACGGACUGACGUCAACGGACCGACGUCAGCGGAGGGACGCAGAGGACGGCGGCGCAUGCGCAGGUCAGGCGGGAGGUAACGGUCCGCUUGUAUCACAAUCAGUGGCCAAAGCUCAGUCACCAUCGCCAGAGUUUGGAAAGACAGCCUUGACAGAAACAGAAAAGGUGACUUCUGGAGCCGUGUCUACUAGGGAAUUAUACCCGGCAGGACCUGUGCAAAUCAGCAAACAGAAGACAAAGAAGGUGAAGUAGAAGCCAACCCUAGAGAACCUCUGGACGCCUUUAUAAUACUGUGGUUCUGGCUUUUCAAAAAAUCAUUUUGUGGCAAAAGUUUGCUUUCUGUUUUAUUCCUCUUCGGAAACCUACAGUCAAACAAUGUAUUCAUUUUUCUUCGUGGCUGUUGUUUUUUGAAACGGGAGUCUCUAUUAGUUUGGGCUGGCCUUGAACUUGCUACCUAACUCAGGCUGCUCUCGAACUCACGGCGAUCUUCUUGCCUCAGCCUCCCGCGUGCUGGGAUUGCAGACAUGUGCCACCAUGCCCGGGUCAGAAUGCCUUUUAAUAACACAUUUGUAUUCUUCCUACGUAACCAAACCACACAAAAAUUACAAAGAGAAUUAGAAGAAAGUAAUUUAGUUUAGACUAGCAGCAUAAAUUUCAGAAUGGGUGCCAGGAUUUUCAGAAUUUUGGGACUAGGUAUGAAAAACAGCAAUCUAAAAAUUGCCUACUCAGAGACAACCUAGUUUCUUUAUUUCACAGCUCUGAAUUCACAAGUAUUAUAAGUAGGACAUUUAAACAAAAAACCUGAAUGAGUUUCCUCAACAUAGGAAGAUGUAAAACAGAAAACCUACAAAAUAAACAACCAGACCUAGGAGUGACAUCAGAGGAGGAACAGAAAAGGCUUGAUGGCAGUGAACAUAACCAGCUCAGGCAAGGUGGAGUAACAGGGAUUACGUUUGUCCUCCUUUUGGGAAUAAGCUUUUAAAAAUCAGACAAAAUACACAACAAUGAGGACUCAGAAGUCGCCAUCCAUAAACCAGAAAAUGAAACCCCACUAGACCCUGAUGCGCCCUGAUCUUGGGCUUCUCAGUUCCAGAGAUGUCAGAAAGAAAUUUCUGUCUUUAUAAGCCGCCCGGUGCAUGGUAUUUUGUUAAAGCACUCACAGGGAUUAAGACAGAUGAGGACACAAUUAUGUGCAACUGUAAAUACAAAAGCACAAAUAGAAUAAAAGCAAAAGGAUGGAAAAGCCAGGUCAUAUUAAUACUACAGCAAAAGAGAGGUGCAGUAGAUAUAUUAAUA
rnacentral:lncRNA from 1 species